AUUGAACGCUGGCGGCAUGCCUUACACAUGCGAGUCGAACGGUAACGGGCCUUCGGGUGCCGACGAGUGGCGAACGGGUGAGUAAUGCAUCGGAACGUACCUUUCAGUGGGGGAUAACGUAGCGAAAGUUACGCUAAUACCGCAUAUUCUGUGAGCAGGAAAGCAGGGGGUCGCAAGACCUUGCGCUGAUUGAGCGGCCGAUGUCAGAGUAGCUAGUUGGUGAGGUAAAGGCUCACCAAGGCGACGAUCUGUAGCGGGUCUGAGAGGAUGAUCCGCCACACUGGAACUGAGACACGGUCCAGACUCCUACGGGAGGCAGCAGUGGGGAAUUUUGGACAAUGGGGGCAACCCUGAUCCAGCCAUGCCGCGUGAGUGAAGAAGGCCUUCGGGUUGUAAAGCUCUUUCGGUCGGGAAGAAAUCGCAUGGGUUAAUACCCUGUGCGGAUGACGGUACCGGCAUAAGAAGCACCGGCUAACUACGUGCCAGCAGCCGCGGUAAGAC
rnacentral:rRNA from 1 species